GACUCUCGGCAACGGAUAUCUCGGCUCACGCAUCGAUGAAGAACGUAGCAAAAUGCGAUACUUGGUGUGAAUUGCAGAAUCCCGUGAACCAUCGAGUAUUUGAACGCAAGUUGCGCCCAAAGCCUUUCGGCUGAGGGCACGUCUGCCUGGGCGUCACAC
rnacentral:rRNA from 1 species